rfam:Klebsiella phage vB_KpnM_KB57, complete genome.
CGUUCAGUAGCUCAGUUGGUAGAGCAGGUUCUUCAUACGGACAAGGUCAGUGGUUCAAUUCCACUCUGAACGA